AGCUCAGGGGCACGCGUUGGCUGAAAAGCAACGGUUUCCUAAACCGUGUGCCGCAGGUUCGAAUCCUGCCGGGG
rnacentral:tRNA from 1 species